rnacentral:rRNA from 1 species
GUUCGAUUCUGGCUCGGUCCGAACGCUGGCGGGAUGCUGCAGUACAGUGAACGGCAGCACGGACUCCGGUCUGGUGGCGAGUGGCGAACGGGUGAGUAAUGUGAACGUGCCUAGUAGCGGGGGAUAACUACGCGAAAGCGUAGCCUAAUACCAUACGCCCUUCCAGGGAAAGCGGGGACCUUCGGGCCUCCCGCACUAUUAGAGCGGCCGAUAUCGGAUUAGCUAGUUGGUGAGGUAACGGCUCACCAAGGCGAUGAUCCGUAGCUGGUUUGAGAGGACGACCAGCCACGCGGACUUCAAGAAUUUUGGCCCAGACUCCUGAGGCAGCGAUGAAAUUUUGGACAAUGGGGAAACUGUUCCAGCCAUCCCGCGUGUGCGAUGAGGCCUUCGGGUUAUCAACACUUUUGGCAGGAAAGAAACGUACGGGAUAAUACCCCGUGCAACUGACAGUACCUGCAGAAUAAGCACCAGCUAACUACGUGCCAACAGCCGCGGUAAUACGUAGAAAGUGCAAGCGUUAAUCAGGGUACUGGGCGUAAGACGGUUCGGAAAGAAGAUGUGAAAUCCCAGAGCUGCUUUCAAGACUGCAUUUUUAACCUGAGCUAGAGAGUGUGUCAGAGGAGGUGGAAUUCCGCAUCUGUAACAGGUAAAUGCGUAGGUAUGCUAAGGAGGAACACCGAUGGCGAGCGCAACUCCUGGGAUAACACUGACGCUCAUGCUGGCAGAGCAAACAGGUUGAAUGCCCUGGUGAUGCCUAAACGAUGUCAACUAGCUGUUGGGGCCUUCGGGCCUUGGUAGCGCAGCUAACGCGUGAAGUUGACCGCCUGGGAAUUACGGUCGCAAGAUUAAAACUCAAGAGGUGACGGGAACCACCAGCCAGUGGAUGAUCAAUGGAUUAAUUCGAUGCAACGCGAAAAACCUUACCUAUGACAUGUCUGAAUCGAAAGAUUGGGAGUGCUCGCAAGAGAACCAGACCUCAGGUGCUUUCCGCAUUAGCUGUCGUCAGCUCGUGUCGUGAGAUGUUGGGUUAAGUCCCGCAACAGCCUGUGCCUGUUAGUUGCUACGAAGGGCAUAAUGAGACUGCCGAUGACCGGAGAGGUGAGGAUGACGUCAGUCCUCAGCAGCCCUUAUGGGUAGGGCUUCACACGUCAUACAAUGGUCGGGACAGAGGGUCGCCAACCCGAGAGACAAUCCCAGAAGCCCGAUCGUAGUCGGAUCGCAGUCACGCUCGACUGCGUGAAGUCGGGAAUAUUAGUAAUCGCGGAUCAGCAUGUCGCGGUGAAUACGUUCUGGAGUCUUGCUACCGCCCGUCACCGCGGGAGUGGGUUUACCCAGAAAUGAAAGUUAGCCUAGCCAAGGAGGGCGAUUACCACGGUAGGAUUCAUGACUGGGGUGAAGUCGUAACGAGCAA